rnacentral:lncRNA from 1 species
AUGAAUCUCAUUUGAUGGACAGAGAAGAUUUAGGUGACAGUUGAUAACCGUGUAAACGCAAAAAGUGUCAACUUUUCCUAGUAUUGUAGUUUUUACCUAUUUGAAAACAAUAAAAAUAGGGAAGGGCGGCACUUUUCCCCUUAAAGAAAGCUGCUGCUCAGGGUACCCAUGUGUGGCUAUUUUCAAGAAAAUUCACUCCACUCUGAUCUAAACCCUAUUCAAUGUCUUUCUUUACAUUGCAGGUCUCUCUCUCUCUCUCUCUCUCUCUCUCUCUCUCUCACAUAAACAAACACACACACCUUUUUGAGCCAUGCUUUUCCAUUUACUACACUUAGAAACCUUAGCUCUUCUUUCAUUAUAGGGCUCAUGCCCCGCUUCCCAUGUUCUAGAGAAGAAAUAUCUAUUAAAGGCCUAGUUUUGUGAUUUCAUU